UGCCUGGCCAUGGAACACUCUAGCGGAGGAGAGCAAAGUCCUCCCCAAACCAAGGCCACAAUAACUAGCACGGUGCUCUGCACAUCAUAUGCACUCAGCACUUGUGAAAGUGAGUUGAAUCAGAAACAAAACGAGGAGCAGAGGUCAAGUCCUGCAAAAGAUAAACCGUGCUAUCUCCGUGACAACAAGCCCAAGUUAGCCUGCUAGAGGAUGAAACACUUUGCGGAAGAGAACCAAAGUUGCCCAGUCCACAGCCAACUCACUCUCAACAGCAGAGCUGUCUGGUCACCAGCAGCUGACCCCCUUCUCCCAUACACACACAUGAAGAUUGCUAUACCUUAUAAAGGUACGGCAGGUUUUAUAGGUAUAGCAAUUAAUUUAUGGCAGGAGCCUGCCAUAAAUUGCUGACUUGCUCAAUCAUGAGCUAAAUAAGUUUUGGGAUGGCUCAUUACACAGUAACAGCUAACUAACACACCCAGAGCUGACAGGACGCCAGGAUUAACAACAUGCUGACUACAAGUUAGCUGGCACACUAUAGGGACCGUCUAGGUACUGAAUUCCUUUUCCCCUUAUCAGAAGUUGGGUCCCUUGAAUUAUAAAGAAAUGCAUGUAGACAUGUAUGUGCUUAAAACUCACACAGUAUCACACAACACAGGAGGAAACAGAUGACAGCCUGACCACUAGGGCAAAGGCCAAAUAGCAAGGUAAGGCAUUUGUCUGGAAUCUAUUCCCUCCAAAUCUAAACUCUGGAGGUCAAGGCUGUGGACAGGACCCACCUCCUGGGACCCCGCUGUCCUCUGAUCUCUGGAGGGGAGUAUGGCCCCACCAAGCAGCAGAUGGGCAGCAGUGGCCUACCUGUGGCCACCUCCUGCUGGCAGCCCCUGCUCUCUCAGGGCACUCUCUCUUCCUUUGGGACUGAGAAGAGAUGUGGGUAGGGAGGGGGAGCUCCCUCCUUCCUGGCAGA
rnacentral:antisense_RNA from 1 species